UAGAUGUGCUCAGAGCAGGAGGCCUGAAGAAAUGGCCCCUCUAUUUGUAACACACCUAACAGGGAUCUGGGUUCAUUGUAACAAGAGGCACAAAACUUGUGGCCUUCCUGUGAAUAAAUACCCUACACAU
ensembl:snoRNA